GUAAGUUACCAACCGUCACUCACCAAUUCAAAAUCAUGAACUUUAUUAAUCGUGGAUAAAUCCGAUGAGCUAUAAAGCUCUUUUAAACGAUUUCAGGAAAUUACACCAAUAACAACAAGUGAAAAGUAUGAGAAAAGUAAGUUAAUCCCGAAAACGAAAUGAGCUCCACUCUUUUUAAAUCCUUUAUAUUAAGUUCACUUGCGCGCUUGCUUGCUUGCGCGCUUACGACCGUGCAAAUCUUUCGGUCGUCUUUUUAACCCACUUCCCGUGAUCCAAUCGAGCUGACAUUUGUGUGUGACAAUUUAUUUUCGUAAAAAAAUGUUCCAUUUUUUAGGAAAAAUAAAAAUUCAUAUGUUAUUUAAAAUACCAAUGUGAUAAAAAUGAAACUCUUACUCAAGAAAAACAGAAAAGAAUAAUAAAAUGAAACCGAUGCCACGCAUAUAAAGGAUUUAUAGUGAAAAACUUUGUUUUUACGGGUUACAUUUUUUUUAUUAAACCAUGUGAAGCCCACUGAGCUAUUUAGUUCUUCAGAAGCGAUCGACAGGCCCAUGUCUGUCUCCAGUGGGAAAUGUAGAGCCGUGUGUUUGUCCGCAGUGUAACAUGUGAUCGCUGUGCUUCUGCUUCUCCUUCUUCUUGCAGUUGGCGACCCCCGCGAGGGAUCCCGCGGGGCUGUGCCCGGGACCCCCUCCCCGGAUGAAGCCCGAGGCGCGGCGCGGGUCGCCGUGCCGGAGCUGACGGGAGCCGCGCAGGCGGCGGCGGGGCCGCGUCUGGGGGCGGAGCCUCAGGGCCCAACCAUGACUGUGGCAGCUGGAUCAGAGGGCACCUCGUCCGGUAACGACCUCACGGUCUUGGCCCCCACCUCGUCCAACGAGGUGCUGGUGGCGGCCGACGAGAUGCUCUGCAUGCAACCCAGCUGCCUUCCCCAUGGCCGGCCUGAACCAUCCCUGGUGCCAGCCACAGCACGCGAUAACAUCAGUGUGUCUGUGCUGCCUGCACCCCAAGGUGAGUGUGCGACCACGCGACCUCGUGACCUCUCGUUACGGUGGCAGCCACCAACAGAAGGGCCACUUUGGAGCCACUGCUGUUGCCCAUCAUGAGUAACACGGGGAGCUUAAAAUACCCAGCAGCCAACGUGACAGGCAUAUCACAUUAUUCUCGAAUUUGAGCUUCAUACUUCAAUGUGGAGCAAAAUCUUUCUGGUUAAUGGUGGCACCACGGGUGCUGGCUGGGGCCAUGUUUUAUCUAUAAUGGGAAAUGUAGACCCAGAAGUACGAAAUGUAAUCGCUGUGCUUCUCCUUCUUGCAGAUGGCGACACCCCCGAGGGAUCCCGCGGGGCUGUGCCCGGGACCCCCUCCCCGGAUGAUGCCCGAGGCACGGCGCGGGUCGCCGUGCCGGAGCUGACGGGAGCCGCGCAGGCGGCGGCGGGGCCGCGAAACCAACCACAACGCUGGGAGUACACUGGGGUGGGUAUUGGAUAAUGAUAGGUGACGUUUCAGGCAAUGGUCCGUCUGCAGAGCACAUCACAGUUGUUUGCCCUUUCAUACCGUCGCCGAUAGAGAGUGGCCCACAAGUUAGGACACACAGAUCUUAUUGAUUUAUUUAAACAAAUCACAGAGGAUUGUUUUGUCAUGGUAUUAAUUAUAAUAACAAAAAAAAUGUUAACUUUUAGACUAAAUGAUUAAAACGUUGCAAUUUCAGUGGCACGAUGAAUGAAACUUUUGGGCCAACCUGUAUUUUGCACUCCUAUCAUGUGUUGAUAUUGUUCGUUGUUGUAACAUUCUUACCUACCCCAACUGGACACCUAUACGAAAGAGCUUUAUAACUCAUCGGAUUCCUCCAGUCUAAAUAUCUAUUCUGAUUCCGAUAAUAAUGUGUAAUAAAUAUAUCAUGUGUGGUUAGAUAUAAAAAGCGACGUUUCAGGCAAUGGCCUUUCUGCAAAGCACAUCACAAUUGGCCCUUCAUAACGUCACCUAUAGAGGGUAGCCCAAAAGUCAUGCCACAUAGUGUCAUCAUUUUUAUUUUAACAGGUAACAAAGCAUUAUGUUGUUUGUUUUAACAAAUGUUAAAACUGACUUCUGUUUACAUUGAUGCACGAUGUACGAAUGAGCAGUCACAGCUGCCUUCUUUUGCAUACGAAUGACAAUCAAACUCGUUCGUCUCUGGUCAAUUUCCUGUCCAUUUUUUCAAUGUCAUCUGAAAAUGAAGAAGAAAAAUAGAUAUUAAUAAUAAUAUCAAGUUCAAGUUCAUUUAUUAGGUAUAGCCCUGUGAGCCAUUCGGCUCUUGAAUCGGGUGCAACCACAACAAACAAAAGAACAUGAACAAGAAAACAUCUUAAAGUGAUUAUGUGACUAUUUGCAAACAGAAAAUCCAAGAAAAGACGGCAAAACAUUGCAGAAAAAGCACCGUACACCAACGCUGUGUGCAAAAAUCCCAGUGGGAUGCAAGUCCGGAGUGAAACAUUUUAUUUUAGGCCACUAAAUAGCAGUGGCAGCUCGGGGUGUACAUCUCCUCUAGAGCAGUUUUGAGUGAAGAUAUCAUAGGUAGUGAUUCAAGUUGCAGUUUAUUGGCAAUAGCAUUCCAGACCCUGGGGGCAUCAAUAGAAAAGGCCCUUCCUCCAGUAUUUGUAUGGCAAUAGGGAAUCUGAAGUUGGUAAAUGAGCGAAGACCUUAGGUCAAAUUUGUUCUUUGAAACUGAGAGGAAAUCCCGCAGAUAAUCUGCGGAUUUUUUUGGAAGUACAUUAUGAAUCAAAAAGAUCUGGUGCACAAGCCGUCGAACAUUAAGAGAUGUUAAGUUUGACCCAAUGUAGAGAUCACAGUGGUGAGUCCUAUAUGGGCAGUUCAGUGCAAAUCUUAAGGCCGAGUGAUACAUUGAGUCAAGCUUCUUCAGUGCAGUAUUUGGGGCUGAUUUAUACACGAUGUCACAGUAAUCAAGUAGAGGCAGUACGGUAGCUUUUAUCAAUUCCAAACGGAACAUAGGGUGGAAGCAGUGCUGGUGUCGAUACAGAAAACCUAUUGUUGUCUUUUUACCAAUAUAAUCAAUGUGAUCUUCAAAAUUCAGUUUUGAAUCAAGGAUGACCCCAAGAUACUUAUAGAUCUUGACUUGCUCUAUUUGAUCAUUAUUUAAGGAAUGUUAUUGGGGAAAAAUAACUUCCCGCUUUAGUCCUGGUGAGGAGCAUCGCGUAAUUGCCCGUCACGUGACGGGUAUUUUCACGUCGUAAACGAUCCACUGUGUUGUGACUUUGUCGAUGACGCCACCUCUGCCGUCUUCCUCCGUUUAAUCGACGUCUUCUUUCGUCUGCGACUCUUCUGGAUUCAUCUGAAUGAACUCAAAAUUACGGAAUGUGACGUACCGAAUGUAAUUUUAUCUUCUACGAGAGUAAUGUAUAACAAACCUGAAAAUAAAGAAUGAAAAAUUGUAAAUCA